rnacentral:lncRNA from 7 species
GUCUCUGUGGAGGUUCUUCCGUUCUUUCCGUUCUUUCCGUUCUUUCCGUUUUUUCCGUUUUUUGAACUGUACCUAAUUUUCUGCCCUAUGUUUCUGUCUCUGUGGAGGUUCUUUCCGUUCUUUCCGUUCUUUCCGUUCUUUCCGUUCUUUCCGUUCUUUCCGUUGUUGUUUUUUGACUGUCACCUAAUUUUCUGCCUAUGUUUCUGUUCUGUGGGGUUCUUUCCGUUCUUUCCGUUCUUUCCUUUUUGUUGUUUUUGAACUGUCACCUAAUUUUCUGCCCUAUGUUUCUGUCUCUGUGGAGGUUCUUUCCGUUCUUUCCGUUCUUUCCGUUCUUUCGUUGUU